AGAAUCAACGCUGGCGGCGUGCCUAACACAUGCAAGUCGAACGAGAAAGUGGAGCAAUCCAUGAGUAAAGUGGCGACCGGGUGAGUAACACGUGACUAACCUACCUUCAAGUGGGGGAUAACCUCGGGAAACCGGGGCUAAUACCGCAUAACAUCUUUGGAGUGGAAAUUCUGGAGAUCAAAGGAGCAAUUCGCUGGAAGAGGGGGUCGCGGCUGAUUAGCUAGUUGGCGGGUAAUGGCCCACAAGGCUUUGAUCGGUA
rnacentral:rRNA from 1 species